UUUAUGGAGAGUUUGAUCCUGGCUCAGAGUGAACGCUGGCGGCGUGCCUAACACAUGCAAGUCGAGCAGAAUUCUUCAGAGUAUCGUAGAGUUUAGCGGCAA
rnacentral:rRNA from 1 species